rnacentral:rRNA from 1 species
GUUGACCUCGGAUCAGGUAGGAAUACCCGCUGAACUUAAGCAUAUCAAUAAGCGGAGGAAAAGAAACCAACAGGGAUUGCCCUAGUAACGGCGAGUGAAGCGGCAACAGCUCAAAUUUGAAAUCUGGCCCUUGGGUCCGAGUUGUAAUUUGUAGAGGAUGCUUUUGGCGCGGUGCCUUCCGAGUUCCCUGGAACGGGACGCCUUAGAGGGUGAGAGCCCCGUACGGUUGGACACCAAGCCUCUGUAAAGCUCCUUCGACGAGUCGAGUAGUUUGGGAAUGCUGCUCUAAAUGGGAGGUAAAUUUCUUCUAAAGCUAAAUACCGGCCAGAGACCGAUAGCGCACAAGUAGAGUGAUCGAAAGAUGAAAAGCACUUUGAAAAGAGGGUUAAAUAGCACGUGAAAUUGUUGAAAGGGAAGCGUUUACGACCAGACCUUUUCCUAGCGGAUCAUCCGGUGUUCUCACCGGUGCACUUCGCUAGGUCGAGGCCAGCAUCGGUUUCCGUAGGGGGAUAAAAGCUUGGGGAACGUAGCUCCCUCGGGAGUGUUAUAGCCCCUUGCAUAAUACCCUUACGGGGACCGAGGACCGCGCUUAGGCAAGGAUGCUGGCAUAAUGGUCGUCAACGACCCGUCUUGAAACACGGACCAAGGAGUCGAACAUUUGUGCAAGUGUUUGGGUGUCAAACCCUCACGCGUAAUGAAAGUGAACGGAGGUGAGAGCCCUUACGGGUGCAUCAUCGACCGAUCCUGAUGUUUUCGGAUGGAUUUGAGUAAGAGCAUAACUGUUCGGACCCGAAAGAUGGUGAACUAUGCGUGGAUAGGGUGAAGCCAGAGGAAACUCUGGUGGAGGCUCGCAGCGGUUCUGACGUGCAAAUCGAUCGUCAAAUCUGCGCAUGGGGGCGAAAGACUUAUCGAACCAUCUAGUAGCUGGUUACCGCCG